rnacentral:rRNA from 1 species
UGACCUCGGAUCAGGUAGGAAUACCCGCUGAACUUAAGCCUUUCAAUAAGCNCNGGGGA